rnacentral:rRNA from 1 species
GACGAAGGUGGCAAGCGUUGUUCGGUAUUACUGGGCUUAAAGAGUGUGUAGGCGGAAGGGUAAGCGCUUUGUGAAAGCCCCCGGCUUAACCGGGGAAUUGCUUGGCGAACUGCUUUUCUUGAGCCAAGUAGGGGUGCACGGAACUGUUGGUGGAGCGGUGGAAUGCGUAGAUAUCAACAGGAACGCCAGUGGUGAAAACGGUGCACUGGGCUUGUGCUGACGCUGAGACACGAAAGCGUGGGGAGCGAACGGGAUUAGAUACCCCUGUA